rnacentral:lncRNA from 1 species
UGCUGUUAUAUUGUCAUUAUACAUUAUUUUGAAAUUCCCUUCGACGGAUUCGUCUUCUUCCUGCCCUCUUGUUUCUUCCUUUUUGACUCAUUUUCUUCAUUCUCAAGGAUCUUCUUUUUCAACCCUUUUAUUUCUUUUCAAGAUCUUCUUCUUCAACUCCAAACUUCUUUCAAUGGCUCGGAUUUCUUCUCUCCCUUCAUCUCUAGAUCUUGACUACACUCUUCU